GUGGGUAUAGCUCAGUGGUAGAGCAUAUGCUUAGUAUGCAUGAGGUCCUGGUUCAAUCCCCAGAACCUCCA
rnacentral:tRNA from 1 species